rnacentral:rRNA from 1 species
CCUACGGUAGACAGCAGUGGGGAAUAUUGCGCAAUGGGCGAAAGCCUGACGCAGCGACGCCGCGUGAGGGAUUAAGGUCUUCGGAUCGUAAACCUCUGUCAGCAGGGAAGAACGGUCACUGUGCUAAUCAGCAGUGAAUUGACGGUACCUGCACAGGCAGCACCGGCUAACUCCGUGCCAGCGGCCGCGGUAAUAUGGAGGGUGCGCGCGUUAAUCGGAAUUAUUGGGCGUAAAGCGCUCGUAGUCGGUAUGUCAAGUCAAGGGUGAAAUCCCCGCGCUCAACGUGGGAACUGCCUUUGAAACUGGCAAACUGGAGUGUGUGAGAGGAUAGUGGAAUUCCAGGUGUAGGAGUGAAAUCCGUAGAUAUCUGGAGGAACAUCAGUGGCGAAGGCGACUAUCUGGCACAUAACUGACGCUGAGGAGCGAAAGCGUGGGUAGCAAACAGGAUUAGAUACCCCUGUAGUC